CAAACUGCUAAUGUUCUUUUUGAGGUUUUGAAAGCUGUUAAUAUGACACAAUCUAUUGAAGUGGAUCGCGAGAUUUUGGAGACUCAGGAUAAAGUUGCUGAAAAGACUCAGAUAUAUGUCCCUUACAAUAUCCUUCCUCUUGAUCCUGAUAGUGCGAAUCACCCAAUUAUGAGAUUGACUGAGAUCCAAGCUGCCGUUUUUGCAUUGCGUUAUACAAGGGGUCUUCCAUGGCCCAAGGACUACGUGAAGAAAAAAGAUGAAGAUAUUUUAGAUUGGCUACAGGCAAUGUUUGGGUUUCAGAAGGAUAAUGUGGCUAAUCAAAGGGAGCACUUAAUCUUAUUACUUGCAAAUGUGCACAUUCGACAAUUUCCAAAGCCUGAUCAACAACCCAAGUUGGAUGAGCGUG
rnacentral:misc_RNA from 1 species